CGAGUGAAGCGGCAAAAGCUCAAAUUUGAAAUCUGGUACCUUUGGUGCCCGAGUUGUAAUUUGGAGAGUACCACUUUGGGACUGUACUUUGCCUAUGUUCCUUGGAACAGGACGUCAUGGAGGGUGAGAAUCCCGUGUGGCGAGGGUGUCAGUUCUUUGUAAAGGGUGCUCGAAGAGUCGAGUUGUUUGGGAAUGCAGCUCUAAGUGGGUGGUAAAUUCCAUCUAAAGCUAAAUACAGGCGAGAGACCGAUAGCGAACAAGUACAGUGAUGGAAAGAUGAAAAGAACUUUGAAAAGAGAGUGAAAAAGUACGUGAAAUUGUUGAAAGGGAAGGGCAUUUGAUCAGACAUGGUGUUUUGCGCCCCUUGCCUCUCGUGGGCUUGGGACUCUCGCAGCUCACUGGGCCAGCAUCGGUUUUGGCGGCCGGAAAAAACCUAGGGAAUGUGGCUCUGCGCCUCGGUGUAGAGUGUUAUAGCCCUGGGGAAUACGGCCAGCCGGGACCGAGGACUGCGAUACUUGUUAUCUAGGAUGCUGGCAUAAUGGUUAUAUGCCGCCCGUCUUA
rnacentral:rRNA from 1 species